rnacentral:rRNA from 1 species
AUUGAACGCUGGCGGCAUGCUUUACACAUGCAAGUCGAACGGUAACAGGCCGCAAGGUGCUGACGAGUGGCGAACGGGUGAGUAAUGCAUCGGAACGUGCCCAGUCGUGGGGGAUAACUACUCGAAAGAGUAGCUAAUACCGCAUACGAUCUAUGGAUGAAAGCGGGGGACCGUAAGGACUCGCGCGAUUGGAGCGGCCGAUGUCAGAUUAGGUAGUUGGUGGGGUAAAGGCACACAAAGCCAACGAUCUGUAGCUGGUCUGAGAAGACGACCAGCCAAACUGGGACUGCGACACGGCCCAGACUCCUACGGGAGGCAGCAGUGGGGAAUUUUGGACAAUGGGCGCAAGCCUGAUCCAGCAAUGCCGCGUGCAGGAAGAAGGCCUUCGGGUUGUAAACUGCUUUUGUACGGAACGAAACGGCUCUGGUUAAUACCCGGGGCUAAUGACGGUACCGUAAGAAUAAGCACCGGCUAACUACGUG